rnacentral:rRNA from 1 species
AUGGCGCGGUUGGCGCGCACGCAGUGGCCCUGGUCCGUGACGAUCGGGGAGAGCAGCUGGAACGCCAUGACGGUGCCCGUGGGCAGCAGCGUGGCCAGGUGCGCCGUGCUCUGGUACGUCUGGCUGAUGGCCCUCUGCAUCGGGCUCAGCCCGUCGCCUGGGUCGUCGCGGACGGCCGGCGGCCUCGCCAGGAGUGGCCGCUCCUCGUCGACGCCGUGGACCUCGUCCUCGCGCCCCUGCCGCGCCACCACCUCGUUCUGCGCCGCCAUUGCCGCUGCCGGACUCGCUACAAUCUACGCUCUGGAAGAAAGAAUCUUGCCUAUGAUGAAUAAACCGGAAGGAGAGGCAGGGGAACGCGAAUGA